UGUAAUCGUCCACGGAGCCUCCUAGGCAAUC
rnacentral:sRNA from 1 species